UCUACAGCCAACUUAUAUUUGAUCAAGGAUCUAAAACUAAUUCCUGGAGCAAGGACAGGCUAUUCAAUAAAUGGUGCUGGGAAAACUGGAUUUCCAUGUGCAGAAGCAUGAAGCAAGACCCCUACCUUACACCUUACACAAAAAUCCACUCAACGUGGAUUAAAGACCUAAAUCUAUGUCCUGACACCAUUAAGUUAUUAGAGAACAUUGGAGAAACCCUUGAAGAUAUUGGCACAGGCAAAGAAUUUCUGGAAAAGACCCGGGAGGCACAGACAGUCAAAGCCAAAAUCAACUAUUGGGAUUGCAUCAAAUUGAGAAGUUUCUGUACUGCAAAAGAAACAGUCAGGAGAGUGAAGAGACAACCAACAGAAUGGGAAAAAAUAUUUGCAAACUAUGCAACAGAUAAAGGGUUAAUAACCAGAAUCUACAAAGAGAUCAAGAAACUCCACAAAAACAAAACCAACAGCCCACUUAAGAGAUGGGCCAAGGACUUCAAUACACAUUUUUCAAAAGAGGAAAUCCAAAUGGCCAACAGGCACAUGAAAAAAUGUUCAAGGUCACUAGCAAUCAGGGAAAUGCAAAUCAAAAGCACAAUGAGGUUUCACCUCACCCCGGUUAGAAUGGCUCACAUACAGAAAUCUACCAACAACAGAUGCUGGCGAGGAUGUGGGGAAAAAGGGACACUAACCCACUGUUGGUGGGAAUGCAAACUGGUCAAGCCACUAUGGAAAUCAGUCUGGAGAUUCCUCAGAAACCUGAAUAUAACCCUACCGUUCGACCCAGCCAUCCCACUCCUUGGAAUUUACCCAAAGGAGUUUAAAUUGAUAAACAAAAAAGCGGUCUGCACCCUAAUGUUUAUUGCAGCACAAUUCACAAUAGCCAAGACCUGGAACCAACCUAAAUGCCCAUCAAUGGUAGACUGGAUAAAGAAAUUAUGGGAUAUGUAUUCUUUAGAGUACUAUACCGCAGUAAGAAACAACGAAAUCCAGUCAUUUGCAACAAAAUGGAGGAAUCUGGAACACAUCAUGCUGAGUGAAGUAAGCCAGUCCCAAAGGGACAAAUACCAUAUGUUCUCCCUGAUCGGUGACAACUGACUGAACACCAAAAAGGAAACCUCCUGAAGUGAAAUGGACACUAUGAGAAAUGGUGACUUGAUCAGCAUAGCCCUGACUGCUAAUGGACAACUUAAUACAUUAUCCCUCAUAGUAUUUUUUUUUGUCUGUUCUACUUAAUAUGACUGGUUUAAUUCUGUAAUUAUCACACAGUUAUUCUUGAGUGUUGAAAAUUAACUGAAAUGUGAUCCCUGUUAAACAUAAGAGUGGGAAUAAGAGAGGGAAGAGAUGUAUAAUUUGGGGCAUGCUCGGGCUGACUUGCCCCAAUUGGUAGAGUUGGAAACAUACCAGGGGAUUCCAAUUCAAUCCCAUCAAGGUGGCAUGUGCCAAUGCCAUCUCACUAUUCCAAGUGAUCAAUUUCAGUUCACAAUUGAUCAUAAUGAAAGGACUAAGAGUGAAAGGGAGCACAUAAACAAGUCUAGUAUCUGCUAACACCAACCGAUAGAAUAAAUAAAGGGGAGAAUGAUCCAACAUGGGAAGUGAGAUACUCAGCAGACUCAUAGAAUGGCGGAUGUCCUAAAUAGCACUCUGGCCUCAGAAUCAGCCCUAAAGGCACUCGGAUCUGGCUGAAAAGCCCAUGAGAGUAUUUCAGGCAUGGAAAGCCAAGACACUCUGGCAAAAAGAUCUCUGUGAGUGAGAUCCCAGUGGAAAGAACAGGUCUUCAAAGAGGGAGGUGCCUUUCUCUGAAGGGAGGAGAGAACCUCCACUUUGACUAUGACUGUGUCUAAACAAGAUAAGAGUCGGAGAACUCAAGGGGCUUCCAUAGCCUUGGAAACUCAUAACUGGUGCAUAGGGAGAUUACUGAUGCCAUAAACAGGAGUGUCAAUUUGUAAAGUCAACAACAGGAGUCACUGUGCACUUACUCCUCAUGUAGGAUCUCUGUCCUUAACGUGCUGUACACUGAGGCUUAAUGCUAUAACGAGUACUCAAACAGUAUAUUUCACUUUGUGUUUCUAUGGGGGUGCAAACGAUUGAAAUCUUUACUUAAUGUACACUAAACUGAUCUGUAAAAAAAAAAAAAAAAAAAGAAAUUAUCAAUUCCCAACUUGACUCUCACUGGGAUUAAACAUGACAAUAGGUCUGAUCUGAUUUCAUCAUCAUUUAAAAAAAUCAUCUAUUAUUUUUCACUUUAUGUUUCUGUGUGGGAGCAAACUGUUGAAAUCCAUACUUAAUGUAUACUAAGCUGAUCUUCUGUAUAUUAAGAUAAUAGAAAAUGAAUCUUGAUGUGAAUGGAAGGGGAGAGGGAGUGGGAAAGGGGAGGGUUGUGGGUGGGAGGGACGGUAUGGGAGGGAAGCCAUUGUAACACAUGAGUCGUACUUUGGAAAUUUAUAUUCAUUAAAUAAAAGAUAAAAAAAAAAAAAUAAAAAAAAGUAAAACUCAAAAAAAAAAAAAAAAGGCAGAUGCAGAGAGAGAGAGAGGUCUUCCAUCCACUGGUCCACUCCCCAAAUGACUGCAAUAGUCAGAGCUGAGCAGAUCCAAGCCAGGAGCCAGGAGCUUUUUCUGGGUCUCCAUGCAAAUGCAUGGGUGCAAGGACUUGGGCCAUCUUCUACUGCUUUCCCAGGCCUUAGCAGAGAGCUGGAUAGUAAGUGGAGCAGCCAAAGCUUGAACCAGAGUCCAUAUGGGAUGCCGGCACUGCAGACAGCAGCUUUCCCCACUAUGCCACAGUGCUGGCCCCCAGAAUAAACCUCUUUUGCUUGUAAGUAAAAUGAAGAAUGCGUUGCCUAGUUUGUAGCUGAUACCUUACCACUGACUGCCCUGGUGUCCAUUUUUUUGUAGUUUUGUUUCCAUGGUUUCAGUCAAUGGCAGCCUGAAAAUAUUAAGCAAAAAGAGUAAAACCAUACAUUAAGAUAUUUUGAAAGAUAGAAAUACCAUAUUCUAAUAAUACAUGUUACAAUGUAUUGUUAUGAUAUGCCUAUUUUACUAAUUAUUGUUGAUAAUCUACUGUGCCUAACUCAUUGAUUAAACUUUUACCGUCUGUGUGUGUGUGUAUGUAUGUAUGUACAUAGUAUAUAGGGUUCAGGGUUCAGCACAAUAUCUAUUUCAGGCAUCCAGUGGGAGUCUUGGAUCAUAACCCUUCUGGAUAAGGGGCUAUGACUAUAUUUUCAACUUACUGCCCUGUUGUCCCUAAUCAAUUUACCAUAGGAGCUUGAUUUUAGGGUCUUUCCGUAAACCCCCUUCUGCCAGCUUUGCUUUUUUGUUUAGAUUCCCCCAAAGGCAACAUUCUAUGUGAUGGUCUUUGCUUGCAGAUAUACCACGCUGAGGUAGUUUUGGAACUAGUAUUUUCCUGUAAUUAUUAGAGAAACUCUUUUAGGACCUUUCGUGCCACCUUCUCUUGGAGACACAUUGUCCACUGAUAUGAUGAAUGAUGAGUGGUGAUAAGAGUUGAAUAACAGAACGUAUUGCUCGCUGCUGGUAAUAAGAGUAGAUUUGCCAGACAGUUCCUGAAGGCACCAUCGUAGGCCUAGACUAAUGACUCAGUAGGUGGUUACCGUAGGAGAAAUUUGUGUUCAGGAAAGAGUCAUUGUAUCAUCUUUAAAUCAUAAUAUGUAGGCCUCCUCCUAUUUUGCCAUUGUAAUAUUUGUUGUUUAUCCCUUAUCAUUACAUGUGCCUGUAGGGUCCCUUCACUGAUUCUGAAAAAUAUUGAAAUCCUAAUGAAUCCAUUAAAAUUUAGAAGUAAGUUUUUCUUUUUACAGAUAAAAUGUACUCGUCAAUUAGUACAGCAAAUUUUCUGAGUUUCACCUGAAAUGAACUCACAGAACUACCCAAAACUCACUAUGAUUCUUGGCUACAAUAGAAGUAGUCCACGUGAAAAUGUAACAUAUUUAAGUACAAUGAUUAAAAUAUUCUUAAAUUUUUUAGGGGGUUAAUAAAAGAGAGGUACUAUUUCUCCAUGGAAUACAGAGCCCGGAAUUCUAUUCCCAACUUCAUCAGUUACUGUGCUCUCUGGUCAUCCUUUUCUGGAUAUAUAGCUCCUUUUCUCAUGUUUAACUAAGCUGAAUCUCCAGCUGAACACUGUGGUGUUCUUCUAUGCUGAAAAGCCUGUCUUUUAUGUGAACUUGUACACAAGUAGAAAAUUCCAUUAGCAACACUGGGAAACAGAAGACGGAGUUAUUUCCUCUCAGAAUUGGGUUGGAAUUUCUAAGCUGGCAAGCGUUAAUUAUAGAAGAUUGUGGUGGGACAGAAAUAAAAUUUCUAUUUUACCAAUUUCUGGCCAAUUCUCUUAUCAGUUAACUUACAAGAAAAAUGAGGGAAACUUCACUGUUUUUCUUUUCCUUUUUUUUACUUAAGAGCACAAACUAGAGUUAAAUUUGAAUUUACAGAAUAUAGAAAACACUUAGGACUAUCUAUAUCUAUCUACCUGUUUAUCUAUAUAAAUCCUGUGGCAGGCUGCAAGCCAGCUGUGUGAUUGAUUCAGCAGCAAAGAUAGGAGUGGGGAUAGAUUUGGAAACAAUCACAAUCUCAGAAGGGGACUGAAGGAACCUGGCCAAGAGCAGAUGACUGAAAGGACAUUUGGGCUCCUAAGCAAUAAUUCACCAUGAGGAUGGAAGAAAUGGGCUGAAGGUUGGGCUGCGAAAUAAAGUCCCAGGAAGCACUGAGCGCAGUACCACGCACAAUGGCCCCAGUUGCCCUGCAUACAGACCAGUGCCCAAGGGAGCAGCUUCUGGGAGCAGUUCCAGAAGUUACUUCCCUCGAGAUUUGCAGUGAUGAAAGAAUGGAACAGCACCUUAUCACUCAUCUCAAAUCAGUGUUUCCUGACAACAGUUAGUAGAGCCCACUGGGGAAAAUGACAGUGUUGGUGUCACACCCAUGAUGAUAUUUGCAUUGUCUGCUAAGUUUGAUGAUGAUCCUCCAGCUUCAUCACUUAGAGCAGCAACAUCGUUGGCUCAGUAGUCUAACAAAAUGGUAUGUCUAUCGCGGCUCAUGCCUUGCACCCUGGCUAGGAGCAGUGUUGAGAGCAAGAACAAUUUCUCUGCAAGCCUGACGUGUUUCAGAGAAUUGCUUCAAUAAACAUAACAUGGGGACUGAGUUUACGACUUUUGUUCACCUGGCACUCCAUCUAACGCCAUCUCUGAAAACCCCUUGCUCCGUGUCAAGAAAAUAUGACAUAGAAGCAACUGUGCUUUAUCAGUCUCCCUCCUGGUACCUCUUAUUCUAGCUACUGAAAUGUGCAAAACUCCUCACUUCACAGUUUCUCAGUGUAGGAACAAUGAUAUCAUCAAGUGCCCAGCUUCCCAAACAUUCCCAUUUGGCAGUGGCAGGAGAGUCUCUGCUUUCUGUAGCAUCUCUGAGUUGAGGGCACAGGAUGAAGACCAGGACUCACUCUACAGAUUGUUCAAUGCUGCCUUUAAAGAAUCAGGGAUUAAGAGCUGAGCGGUAGGUCAGGAAAUAUCAAUUUCUUAUUACUUGGGAGCAGGUGGAAACUCAGGAUCAUUGACAGCAUAAAUAGAAAAAUGACGUUGCCCAUGUUGUUAAAAAGUAAAUUUAGAAGAUACUUACUAAAUGUUUUGUUGAAUCUCUAACAGAGUUUAAAUCAUCCCUGUAAUGACAGAUACCAGACAUAAUCUCAAAAAGGCUAAGGAAAAAUGUGGCCAGCAAGAGAUAUUUACAUAUUAUAAAGUCGUCUGCUGUGUGUGCUGUAUGUCAUAUAAAUGAUGGAGCAUCCAUUUGAAAGUUGAAAAGUUGCAUUCACACAUUCGUUCAGGAAACACAUAUUCUGUGGGGAGCAAACCGGACUAGACUGUUACUGGAAUUAAGACUUAUUCUAUGCAUCUGCUCUCCCACAAUAUGGCGCUGGGAGAGAAGUAAACAGCUUCCGCACAGCUGCCUCCAGUUCAACCAAUAAACUGUAGGACUUGCUCCUGAUUGGAGGAGAGCAGCGUACUCGGCGUGUGGGCAGCCGAGUUGGGAUUGGCGGAGGAGGACUAUAAAGGAGGAGAGAGACGGCAUGCACCAGGAACAUCUAUGGGGAACAUCUAGCUGAAGGAACACCUGUGCAGCCCCCGAGAAGAGCCGGCCGGCGGUGUGCCGCUCCCCUGCGGAAGUGGGGAAUGCGGCCAGGGGGAACUGCCCUUCCACGGAGGUGGAAGGGAUAGUAGCCAACCCGGGAAGAACCAGCAGCAAACCCGGGGAGGGCCGAGCAGACGAAAGAACAGCGCAGGGUCUUGUGUUGCUCCUCCACGAAGAGGGGGAGGGACAUAAUGGUGCCGUGACUCGGAUAUGAAGCCUAGGCAGGGCUUAGUGUCGUUCCCCCACGAAGAGGGGGAGCGACAUAAUGGUGCCGUGACUCGGAUAGGAAACCUAGCUCGGAUAGGAAACCUGACUCGGAUAAGAAACCUAGGACGGAUAGCAAACUUAGGGGGGAAGAAACGGGAAGAAUUGGGAAAAUAUCGGAGAGAGAGACUAGCAAACAGCCUAGGGAAAUUACCGGAGAGAGAGACUAGCAUACAGCCUAGGGAAAAGCCGGACGAAAAGGGUGCCGGAAGAAGCUAUUGAAAGCCUAGGUAUAGACUCGGAUACGGACUACGGGGGGAAGCUGGGAGAAAUCUCUAAGGUCGAAAGCGAAAGUGAAAGCUAGAACAAACAGACUCGGAUGCAGACUGUGGGGAGAGGCCAGGAGAAAUGAGGGAGGAGUAUUGUUGGAAGAAAGCUUGGGGAAACAUACCGGGUAGAGAAAAAUGCUAGGGAAAUUGAAGCCGCGGGGGGCAGGCCUAGGCGGAAACGAAAGCCACUUUGGGAUUCUCAAGUUAGCCCGGGAAUAGGGGGCGAAAAGUUAAAACCAGAAGCUGAGACGCAAGCCAGGUUGGGAUCCGUCUGAUUAGCCCGGGGAGCAAAGGACAGGAAGCCAAACCGUGGGGCGGAGACGUACGCUGGGUUGAAUUCGCCAGGCUAGCCCGGGGAACUUGGAUUGAAUGCUAGUGGUGGAGACGCAAGCUACGCUGUGUUACUCGCGGAAGCCGCCGCGUGCAGAGGGAGCACGGGGCGUGAGUAGAUAGGGAACGCUGGCGUAGGCCGUGGUUCAGACGCGAAAGGGUUAAGCGUGGAGACCGCGGAGCGCGCAAAGCCGAGCCGCGCAAAGCCGGGAAGCUGCGCAGAUAAGAGAGGCGCGCGGGCUGAAGCGGCGCAGAGCCGGGAACCCGCCGGCGGGGCGAGGUGCCGGGAAGCUGCGGGGAUAAGAGAAACAGAAGUUUGGAAGUGAAGUAAAAGAGAAAUGGGAAUGCUGGAAGAUAGAAGUGAAAUGGGAGAGGUAGGAAUGCCCGGAGAUAGAGAAAUAGAGAAAAAUAAGGCCUCCCCUCAACAUGGCAAUUAGAAGGCUUGGAUUCGGUCUGCCCGAUUAGUGAGGCGAUGAGUACCUGGGCGGCUAGCCGCAGGUCACCGAAGACAGGCACGAAUUAACAUCAGUAAAGCUUCCCCACAAUGCAACAAUUAGGAGGCUUGGAUUCGGUCUGCCUGAUUUAAGGCGGUAAGCGCCAGCAAAGCUCGACCAGAGUAUGAGCUGCAGGUCACCGAAGAUAGGCACAAACCAACACUAGUAAGUCUCCCCCACAAUACGGCAAUGAGAAGGCUUGGAUUCGGUUUGCCUGAUAGGUUUUGUAAACACCUGCAGGCAGUUCUAGCAGAGCAGAGCAUGCGCUGCAGGGCACCGAACACAGGCACGCAUCAGCGCCUAAAAACCUCCUCACAAUGGCGAAGAGAGGACCCGGAUUCGGUUUUCCUGAUUGAUAGGACUUGUAAGAGCCUGUGGCAACUCUAGCAAGUAGAGCAGAGUGUGUGCUGCGGGACACCGAAGACAGGCGCGUAUCAACGCCAAAAAUAAAAAGAAAGGGGGAUCUGUGGGGAGCAAACCGGACUAGACUGUUACUGGAAUUAAGACUUAUUCUAUGCAUCUGCUCUCCCACAAUAUGGCGCUGGGAGAGAAGUAAACAGCUUCCGCACAGCUGCCUCCAGUUCAACCAAUUAACUGUAGGACUUGCUCCUGAUUGGAGGAGAGCAGCGUACUCGGCGUGUGGGCAGCCGAGUUGGGAUUGGCGGAGGAGGACUAUAAAGGAGGAGAGAGACGGCAUGCACCAGGAACAUCUAUGGGGAACAUCUAGCUGAAGGAACACCUGUGCAGCCCCCGAGAAGAGCCGGCCGGCGGUGUGCCGCUCCCCUGCGGAAGUGGGGAAUGCGGCCAGGGGGAACUGCCCUUCCACGGAGGUGGAAGGGAUAGUAGCCAACCCGGGAAGAACCAGCAGCAAACCCGGGGAGGGCCGAGCAGACGAAAGAACAGCGCAGGGUCUUGUGUUGCUCCUCCACGAAGAGGGGGAGGGACAUAAUGGUGCCGUGACUCGGAUAUGAAGCCUAGGCAGGGCUUAGUGUCGUUCCCCCACGAAGAGGGGGAGCGACAAUAUUCUAUACUUUGGAAAAAGUACUCUGCUAGAUACUGGAGCAUAUGUAACAAUGAACCUAACAGCAAUACUUCACUUUAAACUUGUUUCACAGAAUAUAUUAUAUAUAAUAUAUAUAUAUAUUUUUUCAUGUUUGCUAAUGCAUGUAUGCUACUUAUACAUAGACAGUUUUGUGAACUGUCUAUGUAUAAGUAUAUACAAAUUUGCCUAUCUCUAUCUGUAAUAUUUAAAGCAGUUACAAACAUUUUGGUGCAUAAAACUUACUUCCCACAUUAAUUUUUCUUUACAAUUACUAUACAUGGAACUGAAUCUCUGCUCAAUUCUUCAUUUCCACAGGGAGAAUUGAUUUUUUGAGCUAUUUAAAGCUUUUGGUGUUGGUUGUCAGAUGUGUUACACAAACCUUAUGCUACUUUGUUCUCCAGUCAGCAGUGUGCUCAUGUCUCAAAAUUGGAGAUGACAUGUUUACUGGAAAUGAGAAGAAUGGCAUAAUAGAUAAUGGGAUUUUUGAAUGCAUGUAUGUGAAAGAGAUAAGGAAGCUUUGAGUUUACCAGAAAACCACACUUGUGAUUAUGCACUCAACAUUCUGUGCAUAAACAAAUCUCAGUAGUGCUGGGACUUUAUUACCCAUCAAUGGACUAUGGAACCUCUAAAGGAGACCCUGUGGAGACAGAAAACAGGUCAAGAGGAAAUUAAAAGUGAAGAUCUUACUAUUUCACAACCAGGAUAGAUCUGUUAAUUAAGCCAACCCAGAAAAAUAGAAUGACAAAUCCAUUGCUAUGUGUUCCUGGAGAUAAGAAACCUUGGAUUCUGGGAUAUGCAACAAUUCCUGGGGACAUGGCUCUUAGGGACUGCUUCCCAGGAACUGCCACUGAAUUUGCAUUGAACCCAAAGUAAAAACAAACGUGUACUCAAAGAGCAAUUCCAAUCUCAGCUAUUUACCUUUAGAGGAUCUAUUCCAUAUGUGCACUAGGGGACAACUGAAAAAUGAAGAUAAUAUUCCAUUUUCUAGAAGCAAUAGAGGAAAAGGAGAAAAGGAUGGGCCCGAUGAUUUGUAUCUAAUGACUACACUGCAGCAAGAAGUGACACAAAAUGGCUUUCAAGGCUAAGUUAUAAAAGAAAAAACAGCAUCCCCUCAGCUGUCUCUCAGGAGGUUCACCAUGGAAGUCCAAUUACGAUACAUUGAGGAAGCCCAGCCCAAACGGAAGAGCCAGAUGUGUGUGUUCCAGCAAGCAAUACUUAUUUGAAGUCCCAACACGUCGUUUGCAUUUAGAACCUCAACAAUCAGAAGAGCAAACUUCGGUGUGACUCCAUUCCCAAUUACCAUCUGCCUUCACCUGCAAGGGAGAUUCCAAUCGAGAAUCACCCAGUUGACACCCAGUGAAGUAGAAUGACAGUAUGAAAAACUGAUUCAUACCACCAAGAUGUGGGAGAUUCAAGAAAUCUGACAAUUUCCAAAUACAAAAAUAGUUAUGACAUAUUCCAGAGACACACAAGAAGUUAAACAAAUAAGAACAAGAAGGAAAAAAAAAAUCCUGAGUCCUAAACAAUGAAAAUCUUAGAAGAUCACUGAAGAGACAGAAAGUGAAAGAAACAAGAUAUUGCUCCAGUGGAUGUGUUUACUUUUAAGACGGGUGGGACACAUUUUUAACAACUGAAGAUAAAAUUUGAAUUACAUCCUGUAAGUGAUGAGAUAGGUCAAGUUCCUGCCUUUACAGAAAAGAUUGUACAAAAUAACCUCUGAACUCACUGUUGUGUAAUGUUAGGUGAUUAUGAUUUUUAAUUUGUUAUCUCUAAUUGAAACUCUAUUAUCAGAAUGAAAAGUUAUGUAAACAAUGCAUAUUUCAUAAUUUUACAGUAUUACACUCGAUAAUACACCUACAUCAUAGCUUUAGAGAUUUAAAUUUCUCUCCACCAACAACAACUCUGAGAGUUUAGGCAAGUUUUUUCAUAUUUAGGAGGUAUAUAUCUUAAUAUACACACACAUAAAAAUGUAUGUGUGAAUAUGUAUAUAUAAAUGCUAGACUGUCCUGUGGGUAGCUUUGAGGUUUCAUUGUCUGAAGGGUAGGUAAGAAAACGCCAAACUGAGACUGUAGGCAUGAAUCAGUUACCUAGGGUAAAAGGCUGGAGUAAUAAAACGUAUAGAAAAUAAGAAAUCUGCAUCCAAGUAACAGGUCCAGUGAAGAACAAGGACAAAGUACGUUAAAACAGGCAAUCCUCUUCCAAUCGUGAUUUUCUCAUCUUAUCUAGCCAGGACUAUAACUUUUUUCAGCAUGUGAUUGAAUCCAAAUCAUGAAGCACAAAGAAGGAAGUGGAAGAGCACUCCUAGGAGUGUGAAAUACUGAGAUUUUGCUAUGUAAUGGGAGCAUUUCCAACUUUAUGAAUAUAUUUUGCCUCAAUUAAUUACAUUGCAGUGUUUUCAAUAACCUUCUUUCUACUGCUAGAAAUUUGAACAGAUUUUAGUGUAAUCCAUGAUUCAAGUGCUCCAUAACUAGAAAAGAAAUAAAUGAAUGACUUUUAAUUAGUUUCCAAAUUACAUUGUCUUGCAUAUAGGGUGUCAAGUAUUUAUUUAAAGAUGGCCAUCUGUUACAGAGAGUAGAUGAAAGUUAGCAAAUAUUCUGACAUCUUGAUAGGACAUGGAAUAAGGAUAUUUGUUAAUUAGUUAAAUCCAAACUGCAAGCAUAUUAAAUAAUGCCUAUGUACCUAUUGUUAAUUUGAACUAAUGAAAAUUGUGCACAAUAUGCUAAAUAAAAUACUAUUAUUUUACAUGGAUGUUUUAAAAAUAUUAACCACAUAUGAUAUAGGUAAUAUUAUUUAUUCAUUAUAUAGGUAAAUAAAAUGGUAUUUUGAGAAGUAAAUUAGCAAGGUUAUUAGGGACAGAGAAUGGCCCCAAAAAUACCUAUCUAAAAUUAAAGUAAUGUGUUUAAUGGCUAUAUGAGUUAAUCCAUUCAUGAUAAAUUUCAUAAAAUCACAAAAAUAAAGCAGAAAACCCCAAAAACCUAUUGUGCUUAUAUUCUAUAAGCAUUCUAGAAAAUCCUGCUUUAAUCACUGAAAAUACUUGCAAUAUUAGAAAAUAUUUUAAUGAAAAAUGAUACAAAAAUUUAUUUUAGAGUUGGUACUAAUUUUGCCUUACUUCCAAUAUUGCUAAUAAUAUUGACUUCUUAAUUAGUUCAUAGUCUUUGAAUUAAAAAUGUAUUUCAUAGAGAUGGGUAUUUAGUGCAGCUAUUAAGAGGCCAUAUGGGAGGCUGGCACUGUGAUAAAGCAGGUAAAGCUGCUGCCUGUGAUGUGGGCAGACUCUGGGUUCCAGUUCAAGACCCAGCUGUUCUACUUACAAUCUAGCUCCCUGCUAAUGGCCUGGGAAAAGCGGUGGAACUUGGACCAGUGUUUGGACCUCUGCCACCCACAUGGGAGACCUUGAAGAAAUUCCUAGCUCCUUGCUUCAGCCUGGCAUGGCCUCAGCUGUUGUAACCAUCUAGGGAGUAAACCAGUAGAUGGAAAAUUCUCUCUCUCUUUCUCUCUCUCUGUCUCUCUUUCUCUCCGUGUCUCUCUCUUACUCUCACUCUCACUCUCUGACUCUAACUUUCUAACUCUCUAACUCUGCCAUUCAAGAUAAAUCAAUUUUUAAAAAAGAAUGCUAUUGAUUUUUUACGUUGGUUUGUAUCCUGUAAGUUUUCCACAUUAUCUGAUGAGUUCUAAUUGUUUCUUAUUCGAGUCUUUAGUACCCUAUAUAAAUAAAUAUGUCAUCUGCAAACAGGGAAAAUUUCACUAUUUCCCUUUCAAUUUGUAUCCUUUGGAUAUAUUUUUCUUGCCUAAUAACUCUGGCAAAAACUUCCAGAAGUAUAUGGAAUAAUAAUGGUGGGUGAGAGUGGGUAUCCUUGUCUGGAACAGAUCUUAGUGGAAAUGCUUCUAGCUUUUCUUCAUUGUGUAUGAUGUUGGCUAUGGGUUUGUCAUAUAUUGCCUUGUUGUGUUGAAGUAUGUUCCUUUGAUACAGAAUUUUUUAAGGUUUUCAUCAUGACAGUACAUUGCAUUUUAUCAAACGCUUUACAUCUGCUUAGAUAACCACAUGGUUUUUAUCCCACAUGUUGUUGAUGUGAUAUAUCAGGUUUAUGGCUCCAUAUGUGUUAAACCAUCCCUGCAUCCCUAGGAUAAAUCCAACAUGGUCCAAGUAGGUAAUCAUUUAGAUUUAUUGUUGGAUUUGUUUUGCUAGUAUUGUAUUGAGGAUUUUUGCAUCGGUGUUCAUCAGGGAUAUUGGUUGAUAACUCUUUUUUGCUGUUUUUCUGUGGUUUCGGAAUCAAGGUUAUGCAGGCCUCAUCAAGUGAAUUUGAAAUAGUCUCCUCCAUUUCAAUUAGUUUUAAUAAUGUAAGUAAUUGGGAAUUUUUCUUCCUUAAUGUUUGGUAGUAAUCAGCAGUGAAGCCAUCAGGUCAUAGUUUUUCUUUGUUCGGAGGCUCUUUAUUACUGAGCCAAUCCCAGUCUUGGUUAUUAGUAUACUCAGAUUUUCUGUGUUCUUCAAUUUCAGUGAAUUGUGUCCAGAUCAUUUCUUUGGUAAAUGGUAUGUGUGUAGAUCAUUACCUAUUUCAGUCAUAUUUUCCAAGUUGUUGGCAUAUAGUUCUUUGCAAUAAUUAAUUAUUUUUAUUUUUAUUGCAUCCGUUGUAUCAUCUCCUUUUUUAUCUCUGAUUUUCUUAAUUUAGGUACUUUCCUAACUUUGUUUAAUUGGACAAUGGUUUUAGAUUUUUGCAAAAAACCAGCUCUUCACUGAUUUUUGCAUAGUUUUUUUUUUUAUCUCCACUUUGUUUAUUUUUUCUCUAAUUUUUAUUGUUUCUUUCUUCUUACUAAUUUUUGGCUUGGCUUGUUUUUGUUUUUCUGGGUCCUUGAGAUGCAUUUUUAACCUAUUUGAUAAUUUUCCAAAUUUUCUGGUUGGUAUAAACUUUCCUUUUUCAUACUGAUUUUGUUGUAUUCUGUAAGUUUGACAUAUUGUUAUGUUUCCAUUUCCAUUUACUUCAAGGAUUUUUAAUUUCUCUUUUGAUUUUUUCUGUGUUCAUCCAGGAACAUGCUGUUGAGUUUCCAUGUGUUUGUAUAUUUUCUAGAGUUUAUUUUGUUCUUAAUAUCCAGUUUCAUUUCAUUGUAAUCUGAAAAGAUACAUGAUUUAAAUUUUGUUUUUGUUUUUGUUGAAACUUGUUUUAUGGCCUUUUAAAUGGUCUGUCCUAAACAAUAUUCCAUGUACUGGUGAAAAGAGUGUGUAUUAUGCAGCUGUGGAAUGAAAUGUUUUGUAGGUAGCAAUUAGAUCUAUUUGGUUUGUAGUAUAAAUUAGUUGUUGUUUCUUUGUUGGUGUUUUGUAUGUUAGAUCUAUCCAUUAGUGAAAGUGGGAUAUUGAAGCCUCACAUUAUUAUUGAAUUGGAGUUCGUGUUUUCCUUUAGAUACAUUAACAAUUGUUUUUAUAAGACUGGGUUUCCUAGUAUUGGUGACAUAAACAUUCACAAUAGUCACAUAUUCUGGGUGAAUUGAUCCAUUAAUCACUUUAUACAUGUGUCUCUUUUAACAGCUUUUGUCUUAAAGUAUAUUUUGGAUAUGAGAAUAGCUACUCCUGCUCACUUUGAUUCUGUGCAUGUAUUUAUUGAUUAAGCAUGUUUCUUCUUCUUCUUCUUCUUCUUCUUCUUCUUCUUCUUCUUCUUCUUCUUCUUUUUUUUUUUGUUUUUGUUUUUGGACUGGCAGAGUGGACAGUGAGAGAGACAGACAGACAGAGAGAAAGGUCUUCCUUUUGCCGUCGGUUAACCCUCCAAUGGCCGCUGCGGCCGGCGCAUCAUGCUGAUCCGAAGCCAGGAGCCAGGUACUUAUCCUGGUCUCCCAUGGGGUGCAGGGCCCAAGCCCCUGGGCCAUCCUCCACUGCACUCCCUGGCCACAGCAGAGAACUGGCCUGGAAGAGGGACAACAGGGACAGAAUCUGGCACCCCGACUGGGACUAGAACCCGGUGUGCCGGAGCCGCAUGCAGAAUAUUAGCCUAUUGAGCCACAGUGCUGGCCAAAGCAUGUUUCUUAUAGUAAGUAUAUGGAUAGUUCUUGUUUUUUAUCCAUUCAGCGAGUCUGUAUCUUUUAAUUGAAUAACUUAGUUUGAUUACAUUCUAGGUUAUUAUUGAUUAGCAAUGAUGUGCUCCUGUCACUUUUCUAUGAAUAUUACUAUUUUUGUUUAAAUUGUUCUUUGUUGUGUUACUAUGAUUUUUCCUGUCUUCCAUCCUUUCAUGAUGCUGAAUAUCCAUCUGCUUCUAUUUUUAGUACAUAAUUAAGUAUAUCAUUGGUUAGACUGGCCAGGUGGCAAAAAAUUCUUUCAAUAUUUGCUUGUUUUGGAAGGUCUUUAUUUCACCUUCAUUUAUGAACAAGCACUUCACAGUAUAAAGUAUUCUAGGUGGCAUUUUAAUUUUUCCUUUAGGACUUUGGCUAUAUCUAUCCAUUUUCUCCUAGCCUGUAGGAUUAUUGCUAAGAAAUCUAUUAAUUAAAUGGGAUAUCCUUCAAAGGUGACCUGGCAUUUCUCUCUUGCAUGUAUGUUUUACUUUGAAAGUUUGACUGUAAUGUGUCAUGGUCAGGACCUUUUCUGAUUAUCCUGUUCUGAGUUCCCUGUGCUUCCUGUAUUUGAAUGUCCACUUCAUUAUCCAGAUUGGAGAAUUUUUUUUUCUAUUAUUUCACUGAAAAAGUUUUCUAAGACAUAUUUUUCUGCAUAUUUUCAGGAACUCCUAAGACUCACAUAUUUAGUCAUUUCAUAGUAUCAUAUAGAUCUCAAAUAGUGUAUUUGGUCUUUCUAAUUUUUUUGUCGGAAUGAGAAAUUUCAGAAGACCUAUUCUAGGUAAGAUAUUCUCUCUUCUGCCUCACCAAGUCUAUUGAAGAUUUCCUUCUUCAUCUGACUUAUUUUUUUAUGCUAACAUUCCCUCCUUUUGUUUUUUAUAAAGCAAAUGUUAUAUGGGACUACAUAAGCCCCAAUAGUCCAAGAGAGCUGGAGGGAUAUCAGACUUCUUGAAGAGUUCAUUGUUAAUAUUUCUGUCUGGUUUUUCUUUAGUAUAUCUGUCUCCUUGCUUAAUUUCCAUUCCAUGUCAUAUACAGAUUUCUUUAUUUCAUGUAAUUUUUUCUCUGUUUUCUUGUAUAAGUUUACAGUUAUUCUUCUGAAUUCCCUGUCAGGCAUUUCAGCAAUCUCCCCUUUAUCACACUCCAACAGUAAUAUGCUAUAAUGUUUCUUUGGGGAAGUCAUAUUACCUAUCUUGUUCAUGUUUGUUGUGUUACUCCAUUGAUUUUUAUGGGUCUGUGUGAUCACUUGUUAUGUCCUCUGGGGGAACUUUUUUUUUUAACUACUGAAAGCUUCAUUUUUAGAAAUAUGCUUCUCUGGGUCAAUGCAGUGCCCAGGACUUGAGUCGGAGUUCCAGGAGAUUGUAUUGGGUGGUUCCAGGAAGCUCUGGCCAUGAUCUGUGUGUGGAGUUAGAAAGUUUUACAACCAACGUGGAUGUGAUGUAGGACCUCUGUCAACAGUCAGCAGAAGGAGAAGAUGUUGGAGCUGGCUAGUGUGUUCACAAUCCCAGCCCCUCUUCUGACAGGUGAACCAGGGAGUCAUGGCCUAGAGUGAGCUCACAGCACCUCUAAACCCUACCUGCUGAGGCACAUACACCAUACAGAACACUGACCCAUGUUGUGGUGUGUCCUUUGAGCCCUAUGUGAGGUCUGUUUGUAGUGCACAGGGAACUGUGAGUUUAUGAAGUCUGACCAUGCAUAGGAAUUGAAUCACAACUUGCACCACUACAAGCUCUAUGGCCUGUGCCCAGAAUUCUCAGUUAAAAGGUGCAUUGGGUGUCUCCUCUCUGCCCUUCAUACUGGCCCCUCCGUGGCCCAGGCUGCCCUCAUUCUCUGAGUCAAGAUAGAGAUGCUACAGUUCCAGCUCAGCAAAUUGAGACUAGCACUUUGAAGAGAAGCAUCCUGCUUACCCUUCACAGAGUGAAAUCAUUUCUUAGCUGCCUUCCAGCUCCCCGGGCAAGACUCAAAGCCAGUGAGAACCAUGGAGUUCCCCCUCAGCCAAAGCUGCUGCUGUCUUCUCUCACCUUGCCUGGAAAUACGAUGCUUCCUAGCUGAACACUUUCUAAACAUGCAGGUGGCACUGGAGCAUGUGGCCAAUGGCUGUGUGUCUGCUGUCUCUCCCCACUGCUCCAUGGAGUCUGUGUUCUGUUCAUUAUCCACAUCUGGGAAUGUGGUUCUUCCUUUUUUAUUUUGCUAUCUGUCUGUGGCUAUUGACAUCAGUGCAACUUGUCCCUAUUCAGCCAUCUUGAUAUCUCCAAAAUGUGUUUUAAACCAACAGAUAAAAUGACUAGAAUGAGAGCUAUUAAGGAUUUCUACAGUGCUACUUUUGUUUCUUUUCAUGGCAGGAUAAGAAAUUUAUUCAUUGAUAUUUUCCCAAGCAUUGAGAUUUUUCCUACUCUUUUUAAUAAAUUUCAAAUCUACAGAAAAUUUGAAAGAAUAUUAUUGCUCAAGAUAUAUGCUUUACAAUUGGACAAAGAUCCCAGUUAAAAAUAAGAGAAGGAAUAAGAGAUGUAAAAGGUAAUAUAAAACUGUAAAACAGAAUAGUUCUGCAUACAGGCAUAUAGACUUACCUCUCAGGGUACAGCCUAAGAACUAGUCAUGGGGCUCCAAACCCAUAAGAAUCCGUGGUAUAAACGCAUUCUUCACUGUUACAAUGAUCAUGUUAAAUGUUAAAGGCAACAGAUAGAUUGGUCCAAGUUUAAAAGAGAUGAUAUAAAUAACAUCAAGUACCAGUAAAAAUAAUAGAAUUACAAAGGAAGGAAGGACCAACAUAGUAAGCAGUCCACACAGCAGACUCCUAGAAUGACUUUAACAGUAAAUAACACUCUGACCUCAGAAUCAACCCUUAAGUCUUCCUGGUGGGGCUGAAAGGCCUGCAAGAGCAAUUCAGGCAUGGAAAAACAAGACUCUGUGACAAAAAAUCCUACACAGAGGAUCUCUGUUAGACCUCAGAGAAAAAGAGUCAUCAAAGAAGGAGACACUCUCUCUGAAGGGAGAAGAGAACAUCCACUUUGCUUAUGGCCAUGUCCAAAUACCAACAGAGUCUAUGGUCACGAAAGGCUUCCAGAGCCUUGGCAGCCCACUGCAGGAGCCUUGGAUGAUCACUGACAUCAUAAAAAAAGAGUGUUAAUUGUUAAAGGAACAACAGUAGUCACUGUGCACUUGCUUCCCAGGUAGGACCUAUGUCCCUAUUGAAUUGUAAUAUGAGAAUGGACUGCAAAUUCUUGCCCCAAACUGUACUCUAUGUAUUGUGUGUGGGUGUGGGUGCAAAUUGUUGCAGUCUAUGAUAAGCAUAGAGUUGGUCACCUGCAUAUAAAGUCAUACUAAAAAUGAUCCACAAAGAAGAAGGAGAUGGGAAAGAGAAUGGGAGGUGGGAAAGGAGUUGUAAAAGUUGUAUCUAUGGGCCGGCACCAUGGCUCACUAGGCUAAUCCUCCGCCUGUGGUGCUGGCAGCCUGGGUUCUAGUCCGGUUGGGGUGCCAUAUUCUGUCCCAGUUGCUCCUCUUCCAGUCCAGCUCUCUGCUGUGGCCCGGGGGUGCAGUGGAGGAUGGCCCACGUCUUUGGAUUCUGUACCUGCAUGGGAGACCAGGAGAAGCACCUGGCUCCUGUCUUUGGAUCAGCAUGGUACGCCAGCCGCAGCAGCCCUUGUGGAGUGAACCAACAGAAAAGGAAGACCUUUCUUUCUAUCUCUCGCUCUCACUGUCAACUCUGCAUGUAAAAUAAAAAAAAAAAAGUUUUAUUUAUGUGAAAAUGUAUUCAUUAAAUAAAAAUUUUUUAAAAAGAUAUAUUCUUUCCCUAGAUUCAACAGUUAUUAAAGUAUUUUGUAUUUUCACUUCUCUUUGUCUCUGUACAAUCACAUGCAUGAUACAUGAAUAUACUUGAUUGUAUUUUUGUGUUGAAAUAUUUCAAUUCACAGAUUGCAUGGGAACUCAUCCCUGAUGCUUCAACAUGUAUUUCUGAAGAAUAAAGACACCAUUCUACCUGAUUGUAAUAUGUGUUCUAUAUAUAAUAAACCACCAACAAGAAAAUUAUUUUCUAAAAAUUUAUUAAUUUUAAAGUCAAAAUUAGAAAGGGAUACUGAGAGAUUUUUCCACCUGCUGUUUCACUAUGUACAUGUCUGCAACAGCCAGGGCUGUGCCAGGCCAAAGCCAAGAGCUAGGAGUUUCAUUCAGGUUUUCCACGUGGGUACAGGUGCCUAAGCACUGGGGCCAACUUCCACUGCUUUCUCAAGUACAUUAAUAGAGACCUGGAUCAGAAGUGGAACAGCGAGCACUCAGACAAGUGCCCUUAUGGGAUGUGGGCCCUGCAAAUGGCAGCUUAACCCACUGAGCCACAGUGCUGGCCACAAACAAGAGUUUUAAUGUUGAUAAAAUGUUACCUAACAGAUAAUCUUUUCAAGUUUCCUGGAUUAUCCAAAAUAUACCCUUUAUAUCUUUUUUUCACUUUUAUUUAAUAAAUAUAAAUUUCCAAAGUACAGCUUUUGGAUUACAGUGGCUUCCCCCCGCCUCAUAACUUCCCUCCCACCAGCAACCCUCCCAUCUCCCACUCCCUCUCCCAUUCCAUUCACAUCAAGAUUCAUUUUCAAUUAUCUUUAUAUACAGAAGAUCAAUUUAGUAUAUAUUAAGUAAAGAUUUCAGCAGUUUGCAUCCACACAGAAACACAAAGUGUUUGAGUACUGUUUGAGUACUAGUUAUAGCAUUAAUUCACAUAAAGCAAGUCUCAGCAAAAUCAAAAGCAUUAGAAUUGUACCAUGCAGCUUCUCAGAUCACAGUGGAAUGAUGUUGGAAAUUAGCAACUUAGGAAUCCCUAGAGCAUAUGCAAACACAUGAAGACUGAACAACAUGCUCCUAAAUGAACUCUGGGUCAUAGAAGAAAUCAAAAGAGAAAUCAAAAACUUUCUGGAAGUAAAUGAGGAUAACAACACAUCAAAACUUAUGGGAUACAGCAAAAGCAGUGCUGAGAGGAAAGUUUAUGGCAGUAGGUGCCUAUAUCAAGAAAUUGGAAAGGCACCAAAUAAAUGAGCUUUAAAUGCAUCUCAAGGAUCUGGAAAAUCUGCAGCAAACCAGACCCAAAUCUAGUAGGAGAAGAGAAAUAAUUAAAGAGAAAUCAACAGGAUUGAAUCCAAAAAAUUACAAAAUAUCAGCCAAACAAAGAGCUGGUUUUUUUUUUUUUUUUUGAAAAAAAGAAUAAAAUUGACACACCACUGGGUCAUUUAUCUAAAAAAGGAAAAGACCCAAAUCAAUAAAAUCAGAGAUGAAAAAGGAAAUGUAACAACAGACACCACAGAAAUAAAAAGAAUCAUCAGAAAUUACUACAAAGAGUUGUAUGCCAGCAAACAGGGAAAUCUAUUAGAAAUGGAUAGAUUCCUGGACAAAUGCAGCCCUUUAUAUCUUUUUAAAUUAGUUUGUGUUUAAGAGCCAAUCAAGAUUCAUGUUUCACCUUUGAUUUUAAUGUCUUAUUUGUUUAUUUUGAUUUAACAAUGCCCUACCAGCAAUUGUUUUAUCUCUAACUCAAUAAUAGCAUUGACAUUUUUAAAACGUCUAGAGCUUGUAUGUUGCAGAAUGUCUCAUAGAAUAGGUCUGAUUGAUUUCUACUAAGUUACCCUCAGGUUAAAUCUUUAGUAAAAAAUGCUAUGCAGUUGAUAUCUUGUGUUUCAGAUUGCAUUCUACCAAGUGAUAAGUAAUGUCAAUUUCUCCCAUGUUGCUAAUGCCAGAUUAGAUACUUUUGUUUAGGUUGUAUGCACCAAAAAGGUAAGGUACAUUUUUACAUUUUGCAAUUAAUAAGCAACCAAUGGGGUGUAGCUGAUACUCCUUGAAUGUAUUUGACCCCCAAAUGUUUUUUACCCAACAACUUAAGAAUCUAUUCAUCAUCUUUACCUGUAUCAUUACCAGUGUCAAACAUUAAGUUUGAGAGUUUUCCAACAGUGAUUUUUUAAUUCCCUUGUUCCAUCUUUCCUGUGCAUUUAUUGCUUGUUUUGUUCUGAAAAGAGUAUUUUAACCCAGCUUUUAUUUGAGUCUUGUUAUAGACUCAUGAAUGAUUAAGUGUUAAAAAUCCAUUACCAUCAUUUAUUCUUUUUGAUGUUGUUGUUGUACAAAUUUGACAGGAGCCCUUAAAGAGAAAUCCUUUGAACUUUUGACAUUACCCCUGUCUAUUUUUGAGCAUCCCCAUGCCUCCUCUCUCAAGGUAUUCUACUCUCCACCUGGCCUUUCCUUGUCUAGGCCUGCUAUCAACCAUUUCUCCAAAGAUCUCUGGUUCCUUUUACUUGGGCACUCUAUUUAGAACGAUCUGGAUAAUCAUUUUUACUGUUGCUAUUAUGCUAAUUUUGCUUUAUGUUGUGAGAUUUUCGAACAAGCUGGGAGAAUAGACACACACAAAUACAUACAUACAAACUUAUUCAUACUUAGACCUUGUGGACCACUUUUUCCAGAGAUGACUAUUAUAUAAAGAAUAGUCAGUUUGCUUUUUCUGGAACCAUUCUGAAAGUUCUCAUUAAUAUGUGAGUAAUGCCAUUUAUAUUAAUGAAGAGGACUGAAAUGUUUGCUUAAAACUCUCAUAUUGUUUCAUAUUAACCCUGAUUUUCCUUUGUGUUUCAUUUUCUUUGUUUUACAAGGAUUCAUAGGAUUUUCUUGGUUUUAAAACUUACCUUUUUUAAAAAAUUAAGUUAUUUUCUUUUAUUGGAAAAGCAGAGAAGCAAAUACAUUCCAAGUGCUGCUUCACUACCCAGAUGCUCCUAAGUGCCCGGGCUUGACCAGACCAAAGCCAGGAGUUGGAAACCCACUCCAGGUCUCCCUCAAGGGGAGUAGCAACUCAAGUGCUCGAAUUAUCACAUGCCGCCUCACACAUUAAGAGAAAACUGAAAUCAAAAAUGGAGGAGGGAUAUUAACCCCCAAAAUACCUACCCACUAGUUUUAUGUGUUUGCCUUGUAUAGAGUGUUUCCAGCCAUGCCUUUCCUUACAUUGGCAUUUACAAUUUGUUCUUUCAUAUUUAAGCAAAAUGUUUUGGCUCAUAUCUAUGACCUAUCUGUAUUAGUUUAUUUUCUCAGGAUAUACGAUUAUUAUAUAUAAUUUUCCACACAUAUCUCAUCAUAAUGUGACUCUUGGAUCCCGAAUAAAAUAUCCUGAAUUCUGAUGCUCAUUUUGUUCAUGUUUUCUCUGUUCUGUCCUGGUUGGAGGAAAUUCAUCUUAUAAAAUAUUCAGAAAGGGCUAACAGUACAAUAUUCUCUGAUUUCUUUGACUAAAGUCUUUUUGUUAUCUUGGGCAAAAACUUCACCUUAUAUCCAUUGAUCCAUUUUUUUAUUUCAAUAUGAUAUACACUGGUCUGUUGCUCACAAGCUCACACUCAUUUUGCAUGGAGGACUUGGUUCGAAGUGUAGACCAUACAUGUGUUUGCCUUUUCUGUCCCCACACUUUCCUGGAUGCUUCGUUCACAUGUAGUUCAGAGAGCAAAAGAAAUAACAUCUCCUCUAGGUAAAGCUCAGCCAGAGUGAUGGAAGCAGUAGCUAAAUAUUUCAGCUUCUGUUACUUUAGGAAGAUACUCCUGGAAGGCAUUCUGAAGCCCUUCAGAAGUGUGACAAAUCAGGUCACCACAGCACAAGACAGAACCUCAGGACUGCAUGGUUAGGCUUUAACUACUUUUUGGUUAUGCUCUCUUCCUUCUCCUUCCAACUUUCUGGAAUCACUUCCCAAAUAAUUUGUUAUGUUUGUCCUUAUCCCAGAUUUUGUUUUCAGGAAAACCCAAACUAGGCAAAUGAGACAUCACUUAUAUGACAAUGGAUUAAAAAGUGAAAAUAAGCUAUUUGCACAUUAAAGACAAAAUGAGUAUAGAAUUUCAUAAGUAGUAGGGCAGAAAUGGAAGCUAGGAAUACAUUAGCAGACAAUGGUGCUUGAGAGUUGGGUAACCAACAAUGGAGAAUUAAGCAUGUAAAACCUAAACAAUGCAAAACCUAGUUAACACAAGUUUCUUGUAGUUUCCAAGUUUGGGCCAGUUCCAGUCAUUUGAAAUGGAGACUGAGUCUGAGGAAUAA